GCCCGGCGCCCGCACACCGUUGACCGUAGCGCCGUCAAGCUUUGAGCACCCUUGCCGUACUCUCUAGCAGCUCCACCACGCACCUCCAUUACCUUCUCCUUCCUGCUGUCUCCCUCCACCCCAACCCAAACCCAUGUGGAGUAGCUGCAGCCGACGGUGACCGUGCCGCAGCCGCUUGUCUCCGUCCAGACGCUCGCUUUCCCACUUGCUACUGCUCCCAGUCGCCGCGCCCUGCCCGUACCCACCAUUCCCUUCCCCAAAUCCUCUCCAUUUCCUCAGCCCCCUCCUCGAUCUGCAUCUGGUGGCGCCAUUCCCUUUCCCCAAACCCUCUCUAUCCCCUUGCUCCCCCUCCUCGAUCUGCAUCUGGUGGCGCCAUACCCUUCCCCCAGACCCUCUCCAUCCCUCAGCGCCCCCUCGAUCUGCAUGUGGUGGGCUACGCACGACGGAUGGUCGUCCUGUUGGUGUGACCGAUGGCUGGUAAUCCCAAGGAUGCUGCGGCCCUGCGCUCUCUGCGCCACUCCCUACUGAAGCUGCGCUCUCUGUGCCACAGUGGGAAGAAUGAGGAGUAACCUGCGGAAGUUGAGGCAAGCUAGGAGUCCAGGCUGCUCAACGAGCACGAAGAUGAGAUGUCCGGAGGGAGGAGAAGCUUUGCGACUCCUCCUAGUUGAGGUGAUGAACUGAUGUCAUAGCUGACCUAUUUUGCUGCUGCAAGCAGAUGUUAAGGGACAGCCUUGGGCAUAGAGAAAAUGGCAGGAAAACGCUUGACUGCUUCUCCUUGCCGCGCACUGCGGGGUGUCAUGGAUCUAGUGUUUGGGUCAUGGGGCCACUGGCUGCUUGGCUGCGGGCUGCACCGUCGAUUCACAGCACGAAUUGCUGGUCUCAGGAUCACAGAGAUAAGUGCUCCAAAACUGCUAUUGCUGGCCUGCUCUUGUGGUUCAACACUCUGUCGCUGCCCUGCUCUUGUUGUUCAGUAAAUGGUAGUUCACUGAAAAGAGUGAUUGCAAAUAAAUUGUGGUGUAUUGAAGCUUCUUUAGAGUAAAUGGUUUGAUCUUAUAUACUGUAAAACUACUAUCUAAAGUUGCACACUUAUCUUGAUAAAUGCUCCUUUGUUAUUAUUUUACCCAUCAUAUGUGUUACUGGUCCAAAAUUGAUGAGAUAUGAAAUGAUCAUAUGCCUGGUCUGUAACAGUAGCAUUUCUGUUUGGAAGAGAACUCUUCACAUGAUUUUGUUAUUGCUUACUGGAUGUGAAAAACUGGCAUGUCUAUCUGUAUGCACUCAUGAUUAAGCAGCUGAUUCAUCUUAUGAGCUUGCUGCUAGUUUAGUUGGCUAACACUUCAUGAUAUAUAGGGUGGUAAUGCCACAACUAAAUUAGUUCUUUUAAAAAAAUGUAUGGCCUUGUAGAUUGGGUUAAUCGCUGCUGUGGUUUUUUCCAUGGAACAAAUUAAAUAUGGUGUUGUUCUUGAAAUCUCUUCUAUAUCUUGAAAAGUGUGUCUAUGUCUGGUAUAUAAUAUUAUAAAGUGUGGAUGUGCUAAUUCAGAAAUCAUCUUCAUUUGCUAAUUUUAUAUGUGCUUUGAGAUCAUUUUUGUUAGAAUAGAAUCCAAUUCAGUUCGAUUUAUGGCCACUCUUUCAUAAUGGAAAAUCAUCUUCUAAUUACAGGAAAAAGACUGAGCUUUCAUGCAUCCAAUCUAGGGAUACGAAGGAGAGUAACCCAGAGGCGGCACUUCAGGCACACCAGAAUGCAGACCAUCAUCUUUGCUUGAUUGCUUGCCUGGUGCAACUUUUGCAUGUACAUAUGUAUAUAUGAACGGAGGAUAAAUUGUAUUGCUUGACUGCUUGCCUGGUGCAAUUUUUUGCAUGUACCUAUGUAUGUGUAUGAAUAUGUGCAUGAACAGAGGAUGAACUGUGAACAUGUGACCUAUUUGUUCUCCCCUA